rnacentral:lncRNA from 1 species
AACUUAGUAUAGAGAAAACAAACCGAGCGCCAUCCCCGUCUAUUGAUCGAUCGCCGACUUCGUUCAACAUGGCACCAGGAUAUUCGCGCUCAGUCCGAGUCUUGUCGUCUCCAAAAAAGAUCAGAAUUCCUCGCAAAGACCUUUACAUUUCUCAAGCAUUCGUGCAAAAAGACCAUCAAGAAUGUUAUGGGAAACACUCUCACUCGAGCUUUAUGAUAGCUGCGUUGACACUAAUCCGGCUUAGUGCUCUUAUUUUUUAAGAUAUUAAUUAAGAAGGAUCUCAAGUUACAAUGAUUGGUAAAUAUUGCCGUAGAAGCUUCUUCUCAGACAAUUCCUGCAAGCUUGCGAAGAGAGCUGUUUCUGCAAAAUUCACGAACGACGGCAUUGCCAAAAUACAACCGGAAACACUCAUCGCUAUGCGAUUCUGUUGCAAGGAGAUCUAUUUAUCCGAUCAGUCGAAAGAGAGUGAGAUCGAAUGCUUUCGACGUGAGAUUAAAUGCUUUCAAGUACUACUUCAUGCAGCCGAAAUAGUUAACCG